AGUGGAGUUGCUGGGCCAUAUGGUGACUCUAUAUUUAACUUUUUGAGGAACUGCCAGGCUGUUUUCCAAAGUGGCUGCACCGUUUCACAUUCCCUCUGGCAGU
rnacentral:pre_miRNA from 1 species